GGUCCUGUGGUGUAGUGGUUAUCACGUCUGCUUCACACGCAGAAUCUUCUUUGAGUCUUCUUUGGGCCA